GACGAGCGCUGGCGGCGUGCUUAACACAUGCAAGUCGAACGAUGAAGAAGAGAAACGCGAACUUCGGUUCAAAUUUCACUUCGGAUUAGUGGCAGACGGGUGAGUAACGCGUGAGCAACCUACCUCUUACAAAGGGAUAGCCUCGGGAAACCGUGAUUAAUACCAUAUGACACAUUCAUAAGGCAUCUUAAGAAUGUUAAAGCUACGGCGGUAAGAGAUGGGCUCGCGUCCCAUUAGCUAGUUGGUGAGGUAACGGCCCACCAAGGCGACGAUGGGUAACCGGCCUGAGAGGGUGAACGGUCACAUUGGAACUGAGACACGGUCCAAACUCCUACGGGAAGCAGCAGUGGGGAAUAUUGCACAAUGGAGGGAACUCUGAUGCAGCGACGCCGCGUGAGCGAUGAAGGAAUUCGUUUCGUAAAGCUCUGUUCUAUGGGAAGAAAAGGACUGUACCAUAGGAGAAAGCCCCGGCUAAAUACGUG
rnacentral:rRNA from 1 species